GAUGAACGCUGGCGGCGUGCUUAACACAUGCAAGUCGAACGAGAAGUGAAGACGGAAACCUUCGGGCGGAAGGCUUUAUUUCGAGUGGCGGACGGGUGAGUAACGCGUGGGUAACCUGCCUCAUACAGGGGGAUAACAGUUGGAAACGACUGUUAAUACCGCAUAAGACCACAGCACCGCAUGGUGCGGGGGUAAAAACUCCGGUGGUAUGAGAUGGACCCGCGUUCGAUUAGCCAGUUGGCGGGGUAACGGCCCACCAAAGCGACGAUCGAUAGCCGAUCUGAGAGGAUGACCGGCCACAUUGGAACUGAGACACGGCCCAAACUCCUACGGGAGGCAGCAGUGGGGAAUAUUGCACAAUGGGGGAAACCCUGAUGCAGCGACGCCGCGUGAGUGAAGAAGUAUUUCGGUAUGUAAAGCUCUAUCAGCAGGGAAGAAAAUGACGGUACCUGAGUAAGAAGCCCCGGCUAACUACGUG
rnacentral:rRNA from 1 species